rnacentral:rRNA from 1 species
UACGUAGGUGGCAAGCGUUGUCCGGAGUUAUUGGGCGUAAAGCGCGCGCAGGCGGUGCGGUAAGUCUCUGGUGAAAGCGCUCGGCUUAACUGGGCGAGGGCCGGGGAGACUGCCACGCUGGAGGGGAGCAGAGGCGAGUGGAAUUCCGGGUGUAGUGGCGAAAUGCGUAGAGAUCCGGAGGAACACCAGUGGCGAAGGCGGCUCGCUGGGCUCUACCUGACGCUGAGGCGCGAAAGCGUGGGGAGCGAACCGG